rfam:Oryza sativa Japonica Group DNA, chromosome 5, cultivar: Nipponbare, complete sequence.
AAUAAGUACAGUUUUACACUAUUCACGUUCAACGUUUGACCGUUCGUUUUAUUUAAUUUUUUUUUAUGAUUUGUAUUUUUAUUGCUAUUAGAUGAUAAAACAUGAAUAAUAUUUUUUAUGUGACUAAAUAUUUUUAAAUUUUUCACAAAAUUUUCAAAUAAGACGGACGGUCAAAACGUUGGACACGAAUAUCCAUGGCUGCAUUUAUU